CCUACGGGUGGCAGCAGUGAGGAAUAUUGGUCAAUGGGCGCGAGCCUGAACCAGCCAAGUAGCGUGAAGGAUGACUGCCCUACGGGUUGUAACCUUCUUUUAUAAAGGACUAAAGUGAGGCACGUGUGCCUUUUUGUAUGUACUUUCUGAAUAAGGAUCGCCUAACUCCGUGCCAGCAGCCGCGGUAAUACGGAGGAUCCGAGCGUUAUCCGGAUUUAUUGGGUUUAAGGGGACCGUAGAUGGGUUGUUAAGUCAGUUGUGAAAGUUUGCGGCUCAACCGUAAAAUGGCAAUUGAUACUGGCAGUCUUGAGUACAGUUGAGGUAGGCGGAAUUCGUGGUGUAGCGGUGAAAUGCUUAGAUAUCACGAAGAACUCCGAUUGCGAAGGCAGCUUACUAAACUGCCACUGACAUUGAUGCUCGAAAGUGUGGGUAUCAAACAGGAUUAGAGACCCGAGUAGUC
rnacentral:rRNA from 1 species